rfam:Terasakiispira papahanaumokuakeensis strain PH27A scaffold00001, whole genome shotgun sequence.
AGGACUAUAGCUCAGUUGGUUAGAGCGCUACCUUGACAUGGUAGAGGUCUCCGGUUCGAGUCCGGAUAGUCCUA